rnacentral:rRNA from 1 species
AUUGAACGCUGGCGGCAUGCCUAACACAUGCAAGUCGAACGGCAGCGGGUAGUGUAGCAAUACACUAUGCCGGCGAGUGGCGGACGGGUGAGUAACGCAUAGGAAUCUGCCUUGUGGGUGGGGAUAACUUGGGGAAACUCGAGCUAAUACCCAAUAAGUUCUACGGAAGAAAGGAUGGGAUCUUCGGACCAUUCGCCAUAAGAUGAGCCUAUGUCGGAUUAGCUAGUUGGUGAGGUAAAGGCUUACCAAGGCUCUGAUCUGUAGCUGGUCUGAGAGGAUGACCAGCCACACUGGGACUGAGACACGGCCCAGACUCCUACGGGAGGCAGCAGUGGGGAAUAUUGGACAAUGGGGGCAACCCUGAUCCAGCGAUGCGCGUGUGCGAAGAAGGCCUGCGGGUUGUAAAGCACUUUGGUUGGGGAAGAAAGGGGUGUAUUGAAUAGAUACAUCAGUUGACGUUACCCAAGAAACAAGCACCGGCUAACU